AUUGAACGCUGGCGGCAUGCCUUACACAUGCAAGUCGAACGGCAGCACGGGAGCAAUCCUGGUGGCGAGUGGCGAACGGGUGAGUAAUAUAUCGGAACGUGCCCGGUCGUGGGGAUAACGUAGCGAAAGCUACGCUAAUACCGCAUACGAUCUACGGAUGAAAGCGGGGGAUCGCAAGACCUCGCGCGAUUGGAGCGGCCGAUAUCAGAUUAGGUAGUUGGUGAGGUAAAGGCUCACCAAGCCGACGAUCUGUAGCUGGUCUGAGAGGACGACCAGCACACUGGGACUGAGACACGGCCCAGACUCCUACGGAGGCAGCAGUGGGGAAUUUUUGGACAAAUGGGGCGCAAGCCCUGAUCCAGCAAUGCCGCGUGCAGGAUGAA
rnacentral:rRNA from 1 species